rnacentral:rRNA from 1 species
UGGGGAAUAUUGGACAAUGGGCGAAAGCCUGAUCCAGCCAUGCCGCGUGUGUGAAGAAAGUCUUCGGAUUGUAAAGCACUUUAAGUUGGGAGGAAGGGCAUUAACCUAAUACGUUAGUGUUUUGACGUUACCGACAGAAUAAGCACCGGCUAACUCUGUGCCAGCAGCCGCGGUAAUACAGAGGGUGCAAGCGUUAAUCGGAAUUACUGAGCGUAAAGCGCGCGUAGGUGGUUUGUUAAGUUGGAUGUGAAAUCCCCGGGCUCAACCUGGGAACUGCAUUCAAAACUGACUGACUAGAGUAUGGUAGAGGGUGGUGGAAUUUCCUGUGUAGCGGUGAAAUGCGUAGAUAUAGGAAGGAACACCAGUGGCGAAGGCGACCACCUGGACUGAUACUGACACUGAGGUGCGAAAGCGUGGGGAGCAAACA